CCUACGGGAGGCAGCAGUGGGGGAUAUUGCACAAUGGGGGGAACCCUGAUGCAGCGACGCCGCGUGGGUGAAGGAGUGCUUCGGCAUGUAAAGCCCUAUCGGCAGGGAAGAAGCAAGACGGUACCUGACUAAGAAGCCCCGACUAACUACGUGCCAGCAGCCGCGGUAAUACGUAGGGGGCGAGCGUUAUCCGGAUUCACUGGGUGUAAAGGGAGCGUAGACGGCCAAGCAAGCCAGGGGUGAAAGCCCGGGGCCCAACCCCGGGACUGCCCUUGGAACUGCAUGGCUGGAGUGCGGGAGGGGCAGGCGGAAUUCCUGGUGUAGCGGUGAAAUGCGUAGAUAUCAGGAGGAACACCGGCGGCGAAGGCGGCCUGCUGGACCGCGACUGACGUUGAGGCUCGAAAGCGUGGGGAGUGAACAGGAUUAGAUACCCGGGUAGUC
rnacentral:rRNA from 1 species